rnacentral:lncRNA from 1 species
GCCACGGAGGCCGUGGAUCGCCUGGUAGAUGCCUUUCGGAGAGGCAUCAGGUGGAGAUCUGACAGGAGAAGGAGAAGAAGAUGUUGGAGAAGAUGACCGGAGACAGUUUCGUUGAGCACUCCUUUAAGAACAAGGGUACUGCGAAGACACACGCCCUUCCUCUAGCGUCAAUUCUGUUGGUGCAGAAUUUCACCGACGUCGGAGAAGC